rnacentral:lncRNA from 1 species
CUUGGCAACUGAGUGGAUAUACAGGCAGGCCAAGGGGAAAGCCCUUUUUAAUUUUCAACAGGACACACCUGGCAAUGGAUGUGACAUUCAGCACUGCCCAGGUUUCUCCCACUUAGAGGAGGCAAACUGGUGAAUGGAAGGAGGCAAUCCUCUGGCAGUGGGAUGCUAAGGAGCAAUAAUAAGGCAAGUUUGCCUGCUUGAAGGCUGCUGGUAUCUGUGGUUGGAAACUGGCGGACGUCUCAUGAUGAAUCUAACAGUAGUUUCUGAUGCAACGGAACAACGUGAGGGAAACCAGAGCACACGGAAACGCCAUUCACCUUCCCACCACAGUGGUACCUAUUUAUCUACUUGCACUGGUGUGCUUUCAAACUGCUAGGUAGGCAGGAGCUGGGACAGAGCAAUGGGAGCUCACCCCAUUUUGUGGAUUCAAACUGCCAACCUUCCGAUCCCAAAGCCCAAGAGGCUCAAUGGUUUGCACCACAGUGCCUUAGAGAGUUAUAGAGUCAUAGAAUUGUUGUAGUGCAGGGUCUAAAUAAUAACUUGUUAUUAUUAUAGAGUUGGAAGGGGGCCGAGGGUCAUCUAGUCCAAUCCCCUGCAAUGCAGGAAUUCUGCCCACAGCCAUCUCUGGGUGGGCUCGAACCACCAACCUUCUGGUUAACAGCCAGGCACACUGACCCAUCACGCCACAGGAGGUCUCCGGUUCUGAAUGGUUGCAGUGCAUUUUCUCACAAAGUGAUAGCUUUGUGUCAGAUAAGUCACUAUGUCAUGGUUAUCGCUAGCAACUGCUUUCAGGCUAUGUGUCCAGGGCAGCUGUUUACCAUCUCCAUCUGGUACGCAGGCUGAGACCCUACCUGCCCACAGACUGUCUCACCAGAGUGGUGCAUGCUCUAGUUAUCUCUUGCUUGGACUCCUGCAAUGCUCUCUAUGUGGGGCUACCUUUGAAGGUGACCCGGAAACUACAACUAAUCCAGAAUGCGGCAGCUAGACUGGUGACUGGGAGUGGCCCUCGAGACCAUAUAACACCGGUCCUGAAAGACCUACAUUGGCUCCCGGUACGUUCCCAAGCACAAUUCAAAGUGUUAGUGCUGACCUUUAAAGCCCUACUCAGCCUCGGUCCAGUAUACCUGGUAAUUUGCAUCCCCUUCAUUCUAAUUCAAGCCUUCUGUUUCCGAUUGCAGUGUUCUGAACUGAUAUUUGGAGCUUAUAUUUUGUGCUUUUGUUUUUGCUAUUUAUUUUGCAUAUUUUCUUUUGAGGCUUUUUCAGUUAAUUUGUUUUUGUGACUAUGUGGAUCCCAGUUCAGCUACUGAUUGAUUGAUUGAUUGAUUGAUUGACUCACUGACUGCUGAAAUGCCUAAAAGCCCCCCAUCCAAACAAUGACUAUAAUCAGCGUAGGUUAGAAAAGAAAAUAAUUUUAAUUUUUAUCAUCUACAAUUCUGUUAUAUUUAUUUUAUAGUACAGUACAUUGAUUAUUGCUUUCAUUUUAUGGAUCAAUGGUCUUGUUAGAUAGUAGAAUUCAUGUUAAAUUGCUGUUUUAGGGUUGUUUUUAAAAGUCUGGAAUGGAUUAAUUAGUUUUGCAUUACUUUCUAUGGGAAAGCGCGCCUUAGUUUUGGAAUGCUUUGGUUUUGGAACAGGCUUCCGGAACUGAUUAAGUUUGAUUACCAAGGUACCACUGUAUUCUCAACCUUCACCCUUCUUAAGCUAAAUUGAAUGUUCUCCCUGACGCCUAUGAAAAUAUCACUAAUAAUUAUAAAACAGAAUAUUUGGUCAUGAGAGCAGAAGUACUAAUAGCGAGGGCUGCAGUUUGAAAGAUACUGGAGACUUGUCUUGUCUUUUGUGUUACAUGCUGAAUUUAAGAAUGACAUUGCCCUCUUGUGGUUAAACAUUGAAGUGGGAAUUUGAAAGCGCUAUAUAAUAUUGCAAUGGGCCUUUUCACUCACGGCUGAGGAGUGGCCAGGCACUUAUCAACUCUGCCUCAUAAAGACAUCCAAAAACCUCCCUGUAAACUUUUGGUCUGUGCAUCUCUCACAAAAUAUGUGGCACCUUGGCAUCAUCUAGGAUCGGCCUUCCUGAUUUGUUUACAGUGAGUUCAGAUAGCAAAUAACUGUAAUUCCUCUGAGGUUUGGCAAACUGAAACCUUCCUAAAAGGAAACACAUUUUCACUUACGAGAGGCGAUCCAACAGAAAAACGAGAAGGAUAUUGGAAGAACUGGGGAGAGAAAAGUUUCUGUUUGACUUUCUAAAACUGAUGUGAAAAUUAUUUUUAUUAUUUUUAAGCAAGGACACAAACCAACUUACACAACCAGAAAUGGUUAGCACCAAAUAGAUCCUCCCACCCAAAUGGUCGGUGGUGUAUUUUGAAAGCUAUUUAACUGAGAACAACAUUGGACGAGGUACAGCAGAACCAAACUGUAACAUAUGGCCAUGGUUUUGUGGAACACAUGGAAAAAUCUGGAACGAAGCUCCCCAAAGAAUAUCGCUUAAAGUGCAAAACAUGCUUGCUAACUCGCAGACACAGAAGCAGGAUAUUUGGAUUCUGAGGGGUAGAACGGCAGUUUUGACAGAGUAAAGGAACUGGAAAAUUGUCAGUCCUCUGGAUCAGGACUGCAAUACCUCAAGGACCGCCUCUUUCCAUAUGAACCUACCCAGACCCUGAGAUCAUCUUCUGAGGCCCUCCUUCAUGUGCCUCUUCCUCGAGAGGUCCAGAGGGUAGCAACAUGAGAACGGGACGGGGCCUUCUCUGCAGUGGCUCCCCGUCUGUGGAAUGUUCUCCCCAGGGAAGUUCGCUUGGCAACUUCAUUAUACACCUUUAGGCACCAGGCAAAAACAUUAUUUUUUAACCAGGCCUUUGGUUGAUUUGAUUGACAUCCCAUGCCCUUCUAAAAUGUGGUAGUUGUUUGAGGGGGUGUUAUUGAGUUGUUGUUACUUUUAUUUUCAAUAUGUAUUUUGUGGUUUUAUAUCUUGAUUUUAUUCUGUGAACCGCCCCGAGACCCCCAGGCAUAGGGCAGUAUAAAUUCAAUUAAUAAUAAUAAUAAUAAUAAUAAUAAUAAUAAUAUAGGAUUGGGUGUGCUGACCAGACUGGAUACAAGACGACCAUCAGCAAACUCACUUCUCCGGGUUGAGAGUUGUGCCUGGCUGCUGUGUGUCUGAAAAUAUGUGGAACUGAAAAUAUGUGGAAAUGUAUCAUAAGGACUACAGUAAAUGAAUUUUGUAUCCACUCUGAGGCCUGCGAGAUGCAGCUGCCAGUUGCUGCCACAAAGAGAUAAUCAAGAGAUGUCAGAAAACACUAAAUUAUGUCACGCGGAUGCAUCUUUCCUGUCUUGGGAUGGCGAGAAGGCUCACAGAGAUGCUGGCUCAUCAGUUUUACACUACUAAUAAACGAGUAGACAUGCUGUGGCCGAUUAUUUUCUAGAAUUCUUACGGGGUUAUUUAUGCGCCAGGUGCGCCAGGAGAUGCAACAGGUGCGCAGCUCAGGAGGAGCUACAAAGGGUGAGGUGCCCACCAGGUUUGCUCAGGAGUUUGCUAGCACAGCUGUUGCAGAUUUAGCUGUGGUUAGUGGCUUGACACAGGUCUUGAAACCCGGGGUCUUGAAAGGGGUAUAGGGUUUGUCCUCAAGGGACGGGAAACCACACCCAAAGACUGUAAGGGUAGACAUUGUUGCCUUGGAGGAGGGAACUGGACCACGUCCAGAGGCCUUGUGUGCCAACACUGAUUCCUCAGAGAGGACCGAGGCUAGGGUUCGAGUCCCAACAAAGCCAGAUGUGAGACUUCCUGAUAGUCAGUAGGGUUAUGAUGCCAAGACUAGUCAGAUGUGCAAGAUGGUGAGGCCCAAGGCUAAUCCAGUUGCAGGUAGUUCCAAGGGUGGAACGGGUGAUACAGGGGUACACUGUGUGUAUGACAUCUGUAUGGUUGUUGCAGUUACACUGAUGACUGCAACACAGAUCAUGAAUUGGGGGAGGAUGUUAGAAUUCCUGCUCCAUGACUGUAGUCCUGGAAUUGUUGUCUAUCAUAUGACGGUGUAUGUUUUGACACCACUGAGUGGGAAGUGACGGAGACAGGAUGUUUGUGUUACUGUGUUCCGUGAAGUGGGACUAUUGUCCUUUGUUCUUUUUCUCUUUGCUGUCUGAUGCUAGAGAAAGAGGGAGCCAUGUUGCAGUGCUCUGUGUGUGUUUAUAUGCAAAUAAAAGUAGAUUAGCCAAAAUGCUGAGUUGCUGAGGUCUGUUACGCAUGAUGCGCAAACUCUGCGGAUCCCUAAGUGUGCCGGUGUCUGUUGGCAUCGGUCGCUGUGAUGUUCAGGCAGAAGAAAGCUUUUGAAGCUCCCGAACGAUCGACCAGGAGGGAGAGAACAUGCCAGUCAGGCAUGUGUCUCUGCCAGGGUCUUACUCAAGUGUAGGCUGAAUUCCUGACAAUUUACGUGCUAUUCAAGCUUUCAGCUUUUGGGUUAAAUUAAUACGCUUGGGAAGAGAGUGGGGACCAUUGUGCUAGCUCUCCCCUCGCUGCCCUCCUUUGGGGGCCACCGUCUACAGCAGGAAGCCUGCUCUACUCAAGUAGAUUCCAAGAUUGCAGAGGGUUGGACUAGAUGCCCUUGGGGUUCCCUUCCAACUCUGCAAUUCUGCGAUUCUAUGAUUCUAAGUAGGUUCUGUGCUUAAUGUAGAAGCCCCGGGGUGAGGCAUCCUUCUUCGCUGGGCAGUACAGUGGUACCUCGGGUUAAGUACUUAAUUUGUUCUGAAGGUCUGUUCUUAACCUGAAACUGUUCUUAACCUGAAACACCACUUUAGUUAAUGGGGCCUCCUGCUGCUGCCGCGCCGCUGCUGCAUGAUUUCUGUUCUCAUCCUGAAGCAAAGUUCUUAACCCGAGGUACUAUUUCUGGGUUAGCGGAGUCUGUAACCUGAAGCGUAUGUAACCCGAGGUACCACUGUAUCUGCUGGAAGUGGGAGCACAGAAAAAGCCAUUCAGUAUGGCAUUCCAGUCAGGCAGACUGAGUUCAUCCCAACAAUAUAUUUCCUGGAGUCUCCUGGAGUGCAGGAAUUCAGAGAUGCAAGAACAGACUUACAGUGGAGAAAACAAAAAAUGCAGAAUUGUUCUAUCUAUCAACAUCGCAGUGCAUGAAAUCACAAAGAUGUGAGCCGGGAGUCCGAGACAGUUAUAGCCUCAAAAAGGGCAAGAGAAUGCUGUGAUCCCGGAAUAGCAAUUUCUGGGUGCACAAAAGAAGACGUUUCUCUUUUCAGCUAGGAUUCUCUAUGUACAAAAAUGGAAGCAGAAAUACUAAGCAAAGCAGAGUAGAUAAGUAAGGUGAUGGAUUAUGCAGAAGUGGUAAGGUUAGCAGCUCAAAUAAGAGAACCUAAUGCCGAAGGUUUUGUGGAAGAAUUUUCAGAUUAUUUGAAGAAACAUUAUUAUAUGAUGAACACGUGAGCAGGAUUUGAGCUACAAGCAACAGAAGGGAUUAAAGAUUAUUGUAGUUCUGCUAAGGUUGAAGAGAUCGAAAACAGGCUGCCUCAGAGGUAGAGAAAUAGAAUCACCAUGGAAAAGGGGAGUGGGAAGUCGGAAGUUAUUAUGUAUUGAAAUGUAUGUGUGAAUUUUUGGAAAACCUAAGGAAAAAAACUUCUGAAGAAAAAGUUGUUCCUCUUUUCUACUUAGCAGUUUCACAAAAGAGAGUGGGACUUGGUUUCCUAGUCAUAUUUAAAGUACUUCUUGUAAAAGGCAUUCAAAAACUCAGAGCUCUUCACUGCCAAUAAUAUGGUGUUGCUUCAGAGUGGAGAAAGAUGGAGCAUUAAUGAUUUUAGGAGGUCAACACCAGUGCAUACAAUUCAAAGUGCUGGGUUUGACCUAUAAAGCCUUAAACAACUCAGGACCGCAAUGCCUCAAGGACCGCUUCUUUCCAUAUGAACCUACCCGGACCCUGAGAUCAUCUUCUGAGGCCCUCCUUUGUGUGCCUCCUCCUCGAGAGGUCCAGAAGGUGGCAACAUGAGAACGGGGCCUUCUUUGCAGUGGCUCCCCGUCUGUGGAAUGCUCUCCCCAGGGACAUUCGUCUGGGGCCUUCAUUAUACACCUUUAGGCGUCAGGCUAAACAUUUUAAUGGGGAAUUUCAGUGGGAACCUUCAAGUGUGUUUUGUCCUAAUCUGCUCCAUUUCUCUGGCCUUCCUUUCCAGACAAAAUGGAAAUUGUUGGGCUAAGGCAAAGUAUAAGGGUACAUAAAAUAGUGGCAGAAUACUGCUCUCUGGCUGCAGGUCUGGAAUGACUUCAGAAAGUGAAUGGAUAUGCAUUUUCUAAGUGUCUUUAAAAUAUAUGGAUGAGCACUUACCUUUCAAACACUAACACUUCCUGCCUUGCACCUCUAUCUUCCAUAUAAUUAACUUGAGGGGGAAAACCACUUCAAAAAGAGGGAAAUUGAGGAAAUGAAUAUAUUUCCUUUUUUUUUUAAUGUAGCCCCCACCCCUGAAUAAUAAACAAAUUUUGGAAGAUGUCACUGUUUGGACUGAAAACGGCAAAGUGAGAGCUAAGAAGAUUCUGUGGCACUUUUGCACAAAGAAUCGACAUUAAAAGAAAUUGCCUUUCUCUUUGAAUGCAACAGAGGAGAGAGACCUGAAAGGCAAUUUCCACUUUUCUGAGAAAACAGCUUCAUAGAAGACUAGGCAUAUAAUGCACCAAGCUGUAUUUGAAGAACCACGGAUCUAUCUAAUGAAAACAAAAUAGGAGAGCUCCCUUUAAAUCAAUCCAUAGCUUUGGAGACGCUUCUUGCUUCCUUGCCAAUGUAGGGAAUUUAAACUGAGGAUGUUUGCAGUGCUGAAAAUUUCUCUGUUUCCCCCACCAACCUUCCUCCAUCCAUUAAUAUCACAACUGGAGAGAGACCUGUUUGAAUGUAAUGUAAAAGUGCUGUCUAAAAUGUAUAAGAUAUUAUUGGAAUGGGAGAGGAAGGAUGAGCAAGUAAAAUCCUCAGUGAUAUAUUGGGCAAUAGAUAUCGGUCAUAAUAUAGACAUGGAAGCAUGGGAACUAUUGCGGAAUAUGGAUAUAAAAUUUACAGCAUGUUAUAGUCUAAGAGAAAAUAUAUGAAAAUGAUAUAUCGCUGGUACCUAACACUGAGUAAACUGUCAAAAAUGUAUAAAUUUAAAUCAAGUAAGUGUCGGAAAUGUAAAGAGAAAGAAGGUUCUGUUUAUCAUAUGUGGUGGUCUUGCAGUAAGCUUACUGGGAAAUGAUAUAUAAUGAAUUGAAAAGGAUGUUCAAAAUAACGUUUGUAAAAAAACUCAGAAGCUUUUCUUUGGGGAAUUAUAGGGCUAGAACUACCGAAACUGUAUAGAAACUUAUUUAUGUAUGCUACCACAGUGGCAACAAAGUUACUUGCCCCAAAAUGGAAAGAAUCAAAAGUCCCAGUAAAGGAAGAAUGGAUAUAAAAACUUAUGGAAUAUGCAGAAAUGGUGAAACUUACCAGAAGAAUAAGAAACAUUUUAUAAAAGAAUGGAAAUGGUUUUUUGAAUAUUUACAGACAAAUUGCAAAGAGAUAAGAACAUUGCCAGGAUUAUUGUAAUAACCUGCAGUUUGAUAACAGUAUAUAUUUAAAGUAGAUGAAAAAAUGAGCAAAUUAAGUUAAUUUGGAUAUGCAGAAGAUAUUAAAAAUAAAUUUAAGGAGCUACAGAAAGAGAGGGAAGGAAUUUGUUAGGUACCUUUAUUUUAUUGUAUAGUAAUUAAAAUGUUCAAAGUAUUACAGAAAAAGCUUCCAUUAAAAUUAUUUUAUAUUUAUGCAUUUCAGUUUUGCAUUAUAUGUUUUGAAACUUUAUUUGCUAUUUUUUCAUAUCUCUUCAUAUUAUUGUUAUUAAACAAUUUCUUCCUCAGUACUUCAACUGUCCUUUCGUUCUUUUAUUUCUCUUUCAUGGAUGCCAUGUUCUGUGGAAGCUUGUGUAGACCAAGUUAAUGGCCUUUUAGGCUUCCUCCACAUAGAAUCAUAGAGUUGGAAGAGACCACAAGGGCCAUCGAGUCCAACCCCCUGCCAAGCAGGAAACACCAUCAGAGCACUCCUGACAUAUGGUUGUCAAGCCUCUGCUUAAAGACCUCCAAAGAAGGAGACUCCACCACACUCCUUGGCAGCAAAUUCCACUGUCGAACAGCUCUUACUCUCAGGAAGUUCUUCCUAAUGUUUAGGUGGAAACUUCUUUCUUGUAGUUUGGAUCCAUUGCUCCGUGUCCGCUUCUCUGGAGCAGCAGAAAACAACCUUUCUCCCUCCUCUAUGUGACAUCCUUUUAUAUAUUUGAACAUGGCUAUCAUAUCACCCCUUAACCUCCUCUUCUCCAGGCUAAACAUGCCCAGCUCCCUUAGCCGUUCCUCAUAAGGCAUCGUUUCCAGGCCUUUGACCAUUUUGGUUGCCCUCCUCUGGACACGUUCCAGUUUGUCAGUGUCCUUCUUGAACUGUGGUGCCCAGAACUGGACACAGUACUCCAGGUGAGGUCUGACCAGAGCAGAAUACAGUGGCACUAUUACUUCCCUUGAUCUAGAUGCUAUACUCCUAUUGACAUGAAUAGGAGUUCACUUUUUGAAUAAUAAGAAUUAUAUGUCAUGGGGGGGGAGUAUCAGGAUUUUAGAGGUGCUUAGGUGGGGCAUGGACAAAAAAAGGUUGGGAACCACUGCAGCCGCCCUGAGCCCAGCCUUGGCUAGGGAGGACGGGGUAUAAAUAAAAAUUAUUAUUAGUAUUAGUAUUAUAUCUUGAUUUAAUAUUUAAUAUUAAGUUUUGGUAGGGUCUAUGGACCUCACUAACAAUAAAAGCGGCAGGCUAAAAUGGGAGAUUAAAGAAACUAAACAGCAACUCAGUGUCAAAUGAAACACAACAAGGUUUGUGCAUGCAUGAUGGUAUAUAUAUUGUGAAGAGGGAUUGUUGACAAUGCUAGAAUGUUCUCCCUGUUUGCUUGUGAUCCUGUUUUUCCACAGAUGCAGAUUUACAUGUAUUAAUUACCGAUGUUUCUAGGUAACAAAUUUCCAUAUCCAAUUACAGUCUCCAGUUGGACAAUUCUGCAUGCUCAAAUUAGUAAUUGCCUCACAGUUUUUUCCUCAGCUUAAUUAGCAGGACAUCUGGAAAUAAUAAUCUGUUACCUCUAGAACAUUUACCUUCAAAGAAACGAUGCCAACUUUGAACUUCAAAGGCUUCUGUGGACUGUUUCAGCUGGGUGCCCAUUGGUGGGCUCUUUUCGAUCUGACAAACCUGCCUGUGACAGCUGCGUUUCACUUUCUUAUCCUCUCUGGAAAUUCAAAGGUGUGUUUUUGGGGGAGAUAUGUGUGUGGAAUGAGGUGUCUUUUAAUGGAUUUCGAAGUAAUAGGCCCCCCAUCAGAUGGGAAGAUCCUGAUUUUACCUGUAAUCCUCUGCAGUGAUGGGGAUCCUCUGCUCCCAGUACUAUUUUCACAGAAUUGCCUGUCAUGGUAGCAUCCUAAUCCUUUGCCCAGUGAUCUAAAGUAUGGUAAGUUUCUGUGCUGGCAAAGGCUGUAUAAGCUUGGAGGGACUGGCACUAUGACAAGGCUUAAAAGAAAAGCAAAUACUGAGAAGUAACGGGAAAAACAAAACAAAAAACUUGAUGAUUGCUGACCCCAGUGAAAAUCUUUACAUUAGCUGAAGAGAAGCAUUUGCUGUUUAAAGAGCCUGCCUCCGGAGAUUAAAAUCAUCUGUUUUGUGAUCCUUGAAGAAACAAGAGUCUCAAGUGAAUGCUCCUCAAUAACUAACAGAGCCCUGCGUAUUCCCUCAACAGUUAAAUCAGUUCACACAACAAGAGAGAAUAGUCCUCGAGACGGAAUUCUCUCUGAAAUAUUUACAGUUUGCAUAUUUAUUGUAAUGAUGUAUUUAAAAUAAAAAAACCCAAAAAAACUUGCUUCGGGGGGGGGGGAUGCUGAUUUCCUUGUAAGACUCUCCACUGCCUGAAGUUACCCCAAUGCUGUUCUGCGUAGGUUUAUGAACUAUUCACAAACAAUGUUGUAGGAUUUCAGAAACAGACUUGAAAGAGAAGUUGCUGAAUUACAACUUAUCACUAAACUGAAAACUAUGGCGAGACCUGGUCUGAAUAGAGAUGUUGGAUUCCUGUCUCAUUACAUAUACUAAUUGUCUGCAUACAAUUGUCUGCUGUUUCCUGUAAGACUAAUUGCAGUCGUUAACAGUCGUCAACAGGUUUACCAUACCCAUUGAGUCAAUCACCCAUCUCCUACUAUUCUCCUAAGAAAACCCCCACCCUCCCACUAUAUAUAAGGGUCUGGUGACUUCUGUUUCAGUGUAUCUGAAGAAGUGUGCAUGCACACAAAAGCUUAUACCAAGAACAAACUUUGUUGGUCUCUAAGGUGCUACUGGACAUUUUUUUAUUUUUUUAUUUUUUUUAUUUCCAUGCUGUAGGAUGAACAGGAAAUCCAGAAAUCAGACAGGCAACAUUAUCUCGAAUGUGUUCCCGAAGACCCACGGCUCUCUACCACUGAUCUCUUUUAAUCUUCUGGCAGCACUACCUUGUAGACAGCGACAGGUCAAGGCCAAGGGUUUAUAUAAUGCCCCAAGCCAUUCAGCUCAGAAGGCUGAGCUGAGAACCAAUGACAUUAUUAAUAGUUUGUUUGUUGAUUGGUUGGUUGGUUUGUUUAAUUUAGUUAUUUGGUUUUUCAGAUUAAAAAUUUACAGUCAUAUAUCAAAACUUAAAUAUAAAAACAAGAGUCCAAGGAAUCUCCUAGAGUUCCAAUCUCCCCUUUGUGGGUCCUAUUAUGAAUCAUUUCCUCCUGCAUCUUUUAUGAAAAUCCAAUUCUUUCUCAUCUCCAUUGUGUCCACCAUUAAACUACAAGUGAUUUUCUAGUCCAGGCAUAGGCAAACUCCGGCCCUCCAGAUGUUUGGGACGACAAUUCCCAUCAUCCCUGACAACUGGUCCUGUUAGCUAGGGGUUAUGGGAAUUGUAGUCCCAAACAUCUGGAAGGCCGGCGUUUGCCUAUGCCUGUUCUAGUCCUCCUAACGAUUUUAACUGUUUACAAUGGUCUUUAAGAGAAGUUAUAAAUUUUCCCCAUUCCUUAUUAAAAUUCCUGAUUUCUGAUUCUUCCGCUCACUUUAGCCAUUUCGGCAUGGUCCAUCCAUUUAAUCUGCCAUUCUUCUCUGGUAGGGACUUUAUCUUCUUUCCAUCUCUGGGCCAAAAACAUCCACACCGCCACAGUCGCAUACAUAGUCUUUUCUGCUCCUUUGGGGUUUCAGCACCUAUUUUUGCAUGUUUGUUUGUUUGUGUUUACUUACCCUCCACCAGCAGGUCCGAGGGUGGUGGCUUACAGCGAUUUAAAAUUCAAGUUAAAACAAAUUACAGUCAUGGGAAUAGGGCGGAUCCUGCUAACACAUAUCUCAAAGGCCAAGGUAGAGGUGCAUCUUCAGUACACAUCAGGAACUUUUCAUGAACAUUCCAGAAGCAUUUCUGUGUGGUGGGAAUUCCACAACGUAGGGGCUGCCACAGAGGAUGUGCUCUCCUAGGCCACCACCCCUGAGCUUCUGAGGUUGAUGGAGCUGCAAAGAGUGCCCCCUCUGCCCAUCUUAACACCCAAGAGGGUCCUUAGGGAAAGAUUGCAUUAUUAGAGAUAUUUGGGGACCUCAAUCAUAUCUUCGUCUUCUUCUUUGGCAAUCACUCAUAGCUGAGUAAGAUUUGUUGUUUAGUUGUUUAGUCGUGUCCGACUCUUCGUGACCCCAUGGACCAGAGCACGCCAGGCACUUCUGUCUUCCACUGCCUCCCGCAGUUUGGUCAAACUCAUGCUGGUAGCUUCGAGAACACUGUCCAACUAUCUCAUCCUCUGUCGUCCCCUUCUCCUUGUGCCCUCAAUCUUUCCCAACAUCAGGG